CAUUAUCCUAUAGGCCUACCGCUAUUCUCUCUUCGCCAUGAUUUCUCCCGGCUCCCGGGGAUAAUCUGGGGGGAAAGACAGGGAUGCUGCCUCACCCAAACCACACAAAAUCCGUCAACAUUAACGGCCUGCAUUCCCUAACCCCGCCUUUGAAUAAAACAUUUAACCGAAUUAACCGAGUUUGCAUUGAGCAGAAAAGCGAACCCGACAUUGCAGCGGAUGGGCGGAUGCGAGAAAACUAUUGCAUUUGCUCCACCCGUUGGCUUGCAGUGAUAACCGGCCAGACACCGUUCCCCAACAAAGAACAUCGGCGUGGAAAUGUAAUAACUCGCGACCGCGAAACCUCAGCAGUGCGUUGACUGCCUUUUACGCGUGAAAAUGAUUCACGGACAACAUUUAUUUCAAUGAUAGUUUUACAAGAGCCUUGUGAUAUAGCUUAUUCAAACGUGGACAGUCAACCACAGGCUUACAUGUUGUCAAAUAAAGACAAUUGAAAUAAUUCCUUGAAAUAGAUGCUCUGAAAGAUCACGUGUGUAGACUCGAUUUUAUUUAUAGGCACCUUAUUAUUAAAGGCCUAUAACCAAGAGCUCGUGCAGAAAUGAUUUCACAGCUGAUGCAAACAGGUCCUUCACCUCUGAGCUGUAGGUCUACCCGAGAGAGCAUUCAACUACGGACCACAAGCCUAAUUUCACAUAUGCCUGACUGCCUUGCCCAGACAUCUUCGCUGUUCUGUUCUUGCUGCACUUAGUGGACCGCUAUCAAUGGAAUGGAUGUUCAGAAUACUGAGGUUCGCCGGGUGGAUAAGGCCGGUGUGGAAUCGGCAGAAAAAAAAUUGCAGCAAAGAGUGGGUACAAUUCCAAAAGGAGUCGUGCGUCCUAAAGGGGGAGGCCACCGCUCGCAGAAUCUAGGAAAAGAAUCGCAGCUCCAGAUCACGUCUUCUCUCCUGUUCUCCGCCGAUGCACCAAA